ACCAUGAUCCUAUAUCUCACCGGCGGGCUGAGCCCCAACCAGUUCAGUUUCCGGAAGGGCAGAUCCACCGAGGAUGCCAUUAACAAGGUCCUUGACUAGACCAGGUGGGCCAGGCAAAGAUCAGCUCGACAGCAGGAGCUCUGCGUUCUGGUGAUACUUGACGUCAGGAACGCCUUCAACACGGCUUCCUGGGAUCACGUGGAACUCUGCACCAUAGGGGAGCCCUAAAACACCAAAAUACACAUGGUAGAGGAUACAUUGCAAGGAGCAUGCUGAAAGGAUAAGGGAGGCUGAGGAAAGGGCUGACCAGCUGCCAUAGGAGUAGCUGCCUCACCAGUCCUGGACACCAAAGUCUUUACGCAACAGGACCCAGCCACCGGCCCAAGGUCAUGUACAGAUUAGGUUAUGUUAGCAUAAUGUCAGGAAGAGUCCUAUCGCUCACCCCUCACCUUAGUUAUAAUUAGCAUAGUUAAUAAUGUUAGCCUGCCCCGCGAAGAGA